rnacentral:misc_RNA from 1 species
GAUAAGUCGGGCUUAAAAAGAUCAAUUACUAUUUUAACUAGCUCAUCUAGUGGUAUUAGCUCAUAAGGGUCUAGGUUGAUAGAAGGGAUAGUUAAAAGGCCACAAUUUUCUGAGAGAGCUUGUUUUUGCAAGGCCCAAAAUGUGCUGGGUGGGUGAUUUGCUUUAGUGCUAUUUGUGGACUUGGUUGGUGUUUGGUCUUGGGUAAAAGUAAAUGAGCCUUGUUAUGUAGUAUGCUGUUAGGCCUUGGAGAAAAGGUUUGGUUCAGUGACAUCUACUUCCGAAGAGAUAAAAGAAGGGCUUGUAGAUUUCCCUUUGUAGGGAUGGAGGAGUUUUGACCUUUUUGUCUGAUUUGGGUGGCUAGGGGCAACUGUGCCAUGCUGAAAGUAGGAGAGCAGAUAAAAAUAAUCUUUGAAAAAUCUAGUGGUAUUAACUCCUCCCAUACCAAUACUGGUAAGAUAUUAACAAAAAAAAACUUAGGGAUCUGUUGUCGAGGUAUUUGAGUGCUGCUACUGUCAUUUUUUUAGGGGUUCAAGAUUGAUUCACUGCCUAAUGAAUCUCUAAAAAGGAAGUUUUGUUUCGCAUUCGCACCAAAGCUCUGUUCAGGCCAGAAAUGGUAAGAGUUGCAGCUUAGAUAGAAAUUGGAUGUGGCUUGGUAUGCCAUGGGUUUGGUUUUGAGUUUGAAAAUCUAGGAUCGCUGGCAACUGUGGAAUGCAAGAAGGAGAGUCUGCUACUGCAACAAGUGGUGAGGUAUACCUUAGAUUUGUUUUAUCUGUUAUUUUUGUUGGGAAAGAGAUGACCAUGGUUGUGUUAGGUGAUGUAUUGGAGGUGGAGAAUGGAAGAUGCCCCAAAGGGAUAGGUGGUUGGUUCCAUAUAGGAUUGGUAGUGGCCAAUUGUAGAGCUAUUGUGUUUUGGCUUGAGGGAUGGUUGGUGAUGGCAUUAGGAAUAAAAAGAGGCUUAGGGAUAUAGAGGUUGCAGUGAUGCGGGUUUGUUCUCAUCCAUAGCCCAAAAGUCAGCUUUGAUGUUGUUUUCCCCUCCUCCUCUGUUGAACUCCCGUUCGGACAGCUCCUAAUUAAAUGCCCCAUAAUCCCACAUCCAAAGCAUAUGUUUGGGAGUUUCUCACAGCACAACGUUAUCCAUUGCAUAUUAUAGUUUGAUUUUUUUUUU